ensembl:lncRNA TPT1-AS1 TPT1 antisense RNA 1
GCGUGGGAGGAGGCCAACUCUCGGGGCGCUCCCUAGCCCUGGGUGGGUGGAGCGGGGGAAGCGGAGUACGUUGGACCCGGCUCCGCCCUACCCCACGGGGCCGCCUGGAGAGGUGCUGGGAGCUGGGUGGAGCUUAGAGGAAUUAAACUUUGGCCCUGCGCCUCGUCCAGCCUAGGUUCCACCCUUUUCUGGGAACGUGAGUAUCAACCAAGAAUGAAUCUCGCUGUGUUGUCCAGGCUGGAGUGCAGUGGCACCAUCUCGGCUCACUGCAACCUCUGGCUCCCAGGUUCAAGCGAUUCUCCUGCCUCAGCCCCCUGAGUAGCUGGGAUUACAGGCACGCGCCACCACUCCCAGCAGGAAACUGCUCAACAGUCACAUCUUGAAAGUAACUUGAGGCAACUGCAGGAGGGCUGCAUGGCGGGAAAGAAAUUGCUGAAAACAGGCUGGGUGAGCUGGCUCGUACCUGUGAUCCCAACACUUUGGGAAGUGAAGUUGGGCGGAUCACUUGAGGGUCUUACUCUGUGACCCACGCUGGAGUGCAAUGGCACCAUCACGACUUACUGAAGCCUCCACUUCCCGGGCUCAAGUGAUUCUCACACCUCAGCCUCCUGAGUAGCUGAGACCACAGAGACGGGGUUUUGCCAUGUUGCCCAGGCUGGUCUCCAGCUCCUAAACUCAAGUGACCUACCUGCCUUGGCCUCCCAAAGUGCUGGGAUUACAGGCGUGAGACACCGCGCCCGGCCC